rnacentral:rRNA from 1 species
UACGGAGGGUGCAAGCGUUAUCCGGAUUCACUGGGUUUAAAGGGCGUGUAGGCGGGUUAUUAAGUCAGUGGUGAAAUCUCCGGGCUCAACCCGGAAACUGCCAUUGAUACUAUUAGCCUUGAAUUCUGUUGAGGUGGGCGGAAUAUGUCAUGUAGCGGUGAAAUGCAUAGAUAUGACAUAGAACACCAAUUGCGAAGGCAGCUCACUAAACAGCGAUUGACGCUGAGGCACGAAAGCGUGGGGAUCAAACAGG